GCCAGCGUAGCUCAGCCGGUAGAGCAACGGUAUCGUAAACCGUAGGUCGUCGGUUCGACCCCGACCGCUGGCU
rnacentral:tRNA from 1 species